CCGCCCGUCACAUCAUGAAAGCCGUUUGUACCCGAAGUCGCCGUGCCAACUGCAAAGAAGCAGGCGCCGAAGGUAUGGAUGGUGAUUGGGAUG
rnacentral:rRNA from 1 species